GUCAAGUCAUCAUGGCCCUUAUGCCCAGGGCUACACACGUGCUACAAUGGGCGGUCAACAACGGGAAGCGAAGCGGCGACGCGGAGCAAAUCCCCAAAAGCCGUCUCAGUUCGGAUCGCAGGCUGCAACCCGCCUGCGUGAAGUCGGAAUUGCUAGUAAUCGCGAAUCAGCAUGUCGCGGUGAAUACGUUCCCGGGCCUU
rnacentral:rRNA from 1 species